AGAGUUUGAUCAUGGCUCAGAUUGAACGCUGGCGGCAGGCCUAACACAUGCAAGUCGAGCGGAUGAGGGGAGCUUGCUCCCUGAUUUAGCGGCGGACGGGUGAGUAAUGCCUAGGAAUCUGCCUAGUGGUGGGGGAUAACGUUCCGAAAGGAACGCUAAUACCGCAUACGUCCUACGGGAGAAAGCGGGGGAUCUUCGGACCUCGCGCCAUUAGAUGAGCCUAGGUCGGAUUAGCUAGUUGGUGAGGUAAAGGCUCACCAAGGCGACGAUCCGUAACUGGUCUUAGAGGAUGAUCAGUCACACUGGAACUGAGACACGGUCCAGACUCCUACGGGAGGCAGCAGUGGGGAAUAUUGGACAAUGGGCGAAAGCCUGAUCCAGCCAUGCCGCGUGUGUGAAGAAGGUCUUCGGAUUGUAAAGCACUUUAAGUUGGGAGGAAGGGUAUUCACCUAAUACGUGAGUAUUUUGACGUUACCGACAGAAUAAGCACCGGCUAACUUCGUGCCAGCAGCCGCGGUAAUACGAAGGGUGCAAGCGUUAAUCGGAAUUACUGGGCGUAAAGCGCGCGUAGGUGGUUCGUUAAGUUGGAUGUGAAAGCCCCGGGCUCAACCUGGGAACUGCAUCCAAAACUGGCGAGCUAGAGUACGGUAGAGGGUGGUGGAAUUUCCUGUGUAGCGGUGAAAUGCGUAGAUAUAGGAAGGAACACCAGUGGCGAAGGCGACCACCUGGACUGAUACUGACACUGAGGUGCGAAAGCGUGAGGAGCAAACAGGAUUAGAUACCCUGGUAG
rnacentral:rRNA from 1 species